AAACUUAAAGGAAUUGACGGGGGCCCGCACAAGCGGCGGAGCAUGCGGAUUAAUUCGAUGCAACGCGAAGAACCUUACCUGGGUUUGACAUAUACCGGAAACAUCUGGAGACAGGUGCCCCGCAAGGUCGGUAUACAGGUGGUGCAUGGCUGUCGUCAGCUCGUGUCGUGAGAUGUUGGGUUAAGUCCCGCAACGAGCGCAACCCUCGUUCUAUGUUGCCAGCGGUUCGGCCGGGAACUCAUAGAAGACUGCCGGGGUCAACUCGGAGGAAGGUGGGGAUGACGUCAAGUCAUCAUGCCCCUUAUGUCCAGGGCUUCACGCAUGCUACAAUGGCUGGUACAAAGGGCUGCAAUACCGCAAGGUGGAGCGAAUCCCAUAAAGCCAGUCUCAGUUCGGAUUGGGGUCUGCAACUCGACCCCAUGAAGUCGGAGUCGCUAGUAAUCGCAGAUCAGCAACGCUGCGGUGAAUACGUUCCCGGGCCUUGUACACACCGCCCGUCAAGUCAUGAAAGUCGGUAACACCCGAAGCCGGUGGCCUAACCCUUGUGGAGGGAGCCGUCGAAGGUGGGACCGGUAAUUAGGACUAAGUCGUAACAAGGUAGCCGUACCGGAAGGUGCGGCUGGAUCACCUCCUUU
rnacentral:rRNA from 1 species